UUCUCUUGAGAGCGGCGGACGGGUGAGUAAUGCCUAGGAAUCUGCCUGGUAGUGGGGGAUAACGUUCGGAAACGGACGCUAAUACCGCAUACGUCCUACGGGAGAAAGCAGGGGACCUUCGGGCCUUGCGCUAUCAGAUGAGCCUAGGUCGGAUUAGCUAGUUGGUGAGGUAAUGGCUCACCAAGGCGACGAUCCGUAACUGGUCUGAGAGGAUGAUCAGUCACACUGGAACUGAGACACGGUCCAGACUCCUACGGGAGGCAGCAGUGGGGAAUAUUGGACAAUGGGCGAAAGCCUGAUCCAGCCAUGCCGCGUGUGUGAAGAAGGUCUUCGGAUUGUAAAGCACUUUAAGUUGGGAGGAAGGGCAGUUACCUAAUACGUGAUUGUUUUGACGUUACCGACAGAAUAAGCACCGGCUAACUCUGUGCCAGCAGCCGCGGUAAUACAGAGGGUGCAAGCGUUAAUCGGAAUUACUGGGCGUAAAGCGCGCGUAGGUGGUUAGUUAAGUUGGAUGUGAAAUCCCCCGGGCUCAACCUGGGGAACUGCAU
rnacentral:rRNA from 1 species